AAUCAACGCUGGCGGCGUGCCUAACACAUGCAAGUCGAACGCGAAAACCCCGCAAGGGGUUUAGAGUGGCGAACGGGUGAGUAACACGUGGGUGACCUACCUUCGAAUGGGGGAUAACGUCCCGAAAGGGACGCUAAUACCGCAUAACAUCCUGCCUUUGAACAGGUGGAGAUCAAAGCCGGGGAUCGUAAGACCUGGCGUUUGAAGAGGGGCCCGCGUCUGAUUAGCUAGUUGGUGAGGUAACGGCCCACCAAGGCGACGAUCAGUAUCCGGCCUGAGAGGGCGGACGGACACACUGGGACUGAGACACGGCCCAGACUCCUACGGGAGGCAGCAGUGGGGAAUUGUUCGCAAUGGGCGCAAGCCUGACGACGCAACGCCGCGUGGAGGAUGAAGGUCUUCGGAUUGUAAACUCCUGUUGCCCGGGACGAAUGGCUCCGACCUAACACGUCGGAGUGUGACGGUACCGGGUGAGGAAGCCCCGGCUAACUCUGUGCCAGCCGCCGCAGUAAC
rnacentral:rRNA from 1 species